AGCAGCCGCGGUAAUUCCAGCUCCAAUAGCGUAUAUUAAAGUUGUUGCAGUUAAAAAGCUCGUAGUUGAAUUUCGGGGUCAGUAGUUUGGUCAUGCCACAGGUAUGUGCUGAUCUUACUGAUUCCUCCUUCCUGAUGAACCGUAAUGCCAUUAAUUUGGUGUUGCGGGGAAACUGGACUGUUACUUUGAAAAAAUUAGAGUGUUUAAAGCAGGCUAACGCUUGAAUACAUUAGCAUGGAAUAAUGAAAUAGGACGUUCGAUCCUAUUUUGUUGGUUUCUAGGAUUGACGUAAUGAUUAAUAGGGAUAGUUGGGGGCAUUAGUAUUCAAUUGUCAGAGGUGAAAUUCUUGGAUUUAUUGAAGACUAACUACUGCGAAAGCAUUUGCCAAGGAUGUUUUCAUUAAUCAAGAACGAAAGUUAGGGGAUCGAAGACGAUCAGAUACCGUCGUAGUCUUAACCAUAAACUAUGCCGACUAGGGAUCGGAUGAUGUUAAUUUUAUAAUGACUCA
rnacentral:rRNA from 1 species